rnacentral:lncRNA from 1 species
AACCUAAUGGCUUUUAAUUCCCAAAUGAAGGACAGAUAAGUUGACAAUUGACAAGGGGCAGAUCUUCCUGGGGCUUUGUUUGUAGCUAGCAGUGACCUGAGAUACUGGCAGGCAGUUUGUACUGGGGGUUCCACACUCCUGGAACCGUGAAACUGCGGAACGGCACAGAUGUCUGGCUGUUCUUCCUAGCAGUAAGAAGCCACUGCACCAGAAAGGCUACCUACGUGUUGGAGUAUGGGGUAGGUUUGUCUGAAGGAAUUCAGCAUGAUGAUGUGACUGAUCUAUGAUGGUCCCGUGUGCCCCCUGCCAUUUAAAUCCUGAUGGACGUAUAUCCCCACCACUAGAUAUGAAAUGGGGUUAGGAAUUUUGCUCUUCUUUCUCACGCUUUUAUGAGCAGCAUCUACCUCCAGGUGAGAAUUCACGUUGUAUGUACUAGCCAGGCAAUGAGUAGAGCAACUCAGCAUCGUCACUGUAGGUUUCUGUGAGCAUGCAGGGUGGGAGGGUGGCAGGGGCUGCUGGAGCUGGGCUGUUACCUUGGGAAUGGGGCAGCUGUAUAGACACAUAGGCUUAAGAACCAUGGCAUGGUGACCUCCGCUACCCAUAAAGUAAUUAAACAACAAAUACAGAUUUAACCAGUAUUAGAUAAUAAAUCAAGAGGAACUAGACUAAUUAUAUGGUGU